GACGAACGCUGGCGGCGUGCUUAACACAUGCAAGUCGAACGGAAAGGCCCUGCUUUUGUGGGGUGCUCGAGUGGCGAACGGGUGAGUAACACGUGAGUAGCCUGCCCUUGACUUUGGGAUAACUUCAGGAAACUGGGGCUAAUACCGGAUAGGAGCUCCUGCUGCAUGGUGGGGGUUGGAAAGUUUCGGCGGUUGGGGAUGGACUCGCGGCUUAUCAGCUUGUUGGUGGGGUAGUGGCUUACCAAGGCUUUGACGGGUAGCCGGCCUGAGAGGGUGACCGGCCACAUUGGGACUGAGAUACGGCCCAGACUCCUACGGGAGGCAGCAGUGGGGAAUAUUGCACAAUGGGCGGAAGCCUGAUGCAGCAACGCCGCGUUCGGGAUGACGGCCUUCGGGUUGUAAACCGCUUUCGCCUGUGACGAAGCGUGAGUGACGGUAAUGGGUAAAGAAGCACCGGCUAACUACGUG
rnacentral:rRNA from 1 species